rnacentral:tRNA from 1 species
GUGCCUGUAGCUUAAUUGGAUAGAGCAUCAGCUUGCGGAGCUGAAGGUUGUGAGUUCGAGUCUCACCAGGCACG